rnacentral:rRNA from 1 species
AUUGAACGCUGGCGGCAGGCCUAACACAUGCAAGUCGAGCGGAUCGGCGGCCGGGUGCGUAAUGCCUAUGACUCUGCCUGUUCGUGGGGGAUAACGUCCGGAAACGGGCGCUAAUACCGCAUACUCUCCGCUUCGCCUAGGUCGGAUUAGCUAGUUGGUGGGGUAAAGGCCUACCAAGGCGACGAUCCGUAACUGGUCUGAGAGGAUGAUCAGUCACACUGGAACUGAGACACGGUCCAGACUCCUACGGGAGGCAGCAGUGGGGAAUAUUGGACAAUGGGCGAAAGCCUGAUCCAGCCAUGCCGCGUGUGUGAAGAAGGUCGUCGGAUUGUAAAGCACUUUAAGUUGGGAGGCGUUACCAACAGAAGAAGCACCGGCUAACUUCGUGCCAGCAGCCGCGGUAAUUC